rnacentral:rRNA from 1 species
UUAAGCGACUAAGCGUACACGGUGGAUGCCCUGGCAGUCAGAGGCGAUGAAGGACGUGCUAAUCUGCGAAAAGCGUCGGUAAGGUGAUAUGAACCGUUACAGCCGGCGAUGUCCGAAUGGGGAAACCCAGUGCAAUUCGUUGCACUAUCGUUAACUGAAUACAUAGGUUAACGAGGCGAACCGGGGGAACUGAAACAUCUAAGUACCCCGAGGAAAAGAAAUCAACCGAGAUUCCCCCAGUAGCGGCGAGCGAACGGGGAGCAGCCCAGAGUCUGAAUCAGCUUGUGUGUUAGUGGAACGGUCUGGAAAGUCCGACGGUACAGGGUGAUAGUCCCGUACACCAAAAUGCACAGGCUGUGAACUCGAAGAGUAGGGCGGGACACGUGGUAUCCUGUCUGAAUAUGGGGGGACCAUCCUCCAAGGCUAAAUACUCCUGACUGACCGAUAGUGAACCAGUACCGUGAGGGAAAGGCGAAAAGAACCCCGGCGAGGGGAGUGAAAAAGAACCUGAAACCGUGUACGUACAAGCAGUGGGAGCACCUUCGGGUGUGACUGCGUACCUUUUGUAUAAUGGGUCAGCGACUUAUAUUCUGUAGCAAGGUUAACCGUAUAGGGGAGCCGCAGGGAAACCGAGUCUUAACUGGGCGUUAAGUUGCAGGGUAUAGACCCGAAACCCGGUGAUCUAGCCAUGGGCAGGUUGAAGGUUGGGUAACACUAACUGGAGGACCGAACCGACUAAUGUUGAAAAAUUAGCGGAUGACUUGUGGCUGGGGGUGAAAGGCCAAUCAAACCGGGAGAUAGCUGGUUCUCCCCGAAAGCUAUUUAGGUAGCGCCUCGUGAAUUCAUCUUCGGGGGUAGAGCACUGUUUCGGCUAGGGGGUCAUCCCGACUUACCAACCCGAUGCAAACUACGAAUACCGAAGAAUGUUAUCACGGGAGACACACGGCGGGUGCUAACGUCCGUCGUGAAGAGGGAAACAACCCAGACCGCCAGCUAAGGUCCCAAAGUCAUGGUUAAGUGGGAAACGAUGUGGGAAGGCACAGACAGCCAGGAUGUUGGCUUAGAAGCAGCCAUCAUUUAAAGAAAGCGUAAUAGCUCACUGGUCGAGUCGGCCUGCGCGGAAGAUGUAACGGGGCUAAACCAUGCACCGAAGCUGCGGCAGCGACACUAUGUGUUGUUGGGUAGGGGAGCGUUCUGUAAGCCUGCGAAGGUGGCCUGUGAGGGUUGCUGGAGGUAUCAGAAGUGCGAAUGCUGACAUAAGUAACGAUAAAGCGGGUGAAAAGCCCGCUCGCCGGAAGACCAAGGGUUCCUGUCCAACGUUAAUCGGGGCAGGGUGAGUCGACCCCUAAGGCGAGGCCGAAAGGCGUAGUCGAUGGGAAACAGGUUAAUAUUCCUGUACUUGGUGUUACUGCGAAGGGGGGACGGAGAAGGCUAUGUUAGCCGGGCGACGGUUGUCCCGGUUUAAGCAUGUAGGCUGGUUAUCCAGGCAAAUCCGGAUAAUCAAGGCUGAGGUGUGAUGACGAGGCACUACGGUGCUGAAGUAACAAAUGCCCUGCUUCCAGGAAAAGCCUCUAAGCAUCAGGUAACAUUAAAUCGUACCCCAAACCGACACAGGUGGUCAGGUAGAGAAUACCAAGGCGCUUGAGAGAACUCGGGUGAAGGAACUAGGCAAAAUGGUGCCGUAACUUCGGGAGAAGGCACGCUGGUGUGUAGGUGAAGUCCCUGCGGAUGGAGCUGAGACCAGUCGAAGAUACCAGCUGGCUGCAACUGUUUAUUAAAAACACAGCACUGUGCAAACACGAAAGUGGACGUAUACGGUGUGACGCCUGCCCGGUGCCGGAAGGUUAAUUGAUGGGGUUAUCCGUAAGGAGAAGCUCUUGAUCGAAGCCCCGGUAAACGGCGGCCGUAACUAUAACGGUCCUAAGGUAGCGAAAUUCCUUGUCGGGUAAGUUCCGACCUGCACGAAUGGCGUAAUGAUGGCCAGGCUGUCUCCACCCGAGACUCAGUGAAAUUGAACUCGCUGUGAAGAUGCAGUGUACCCGCGGCAAGACGGAAAGACCCCGUGAACCUUUACUAUAGCUUGACACUGAACAUUGAGCCUUGAUGUGUAGGAUAGGUGGGAGGCUUUGAAGCGUGGACGCCAGUCUGCGUGGAGCCAACCUUGAAAUACCACCCUUUAAUGUUUGAUGUUCUAACGUUGGCCCCUGACCGGGGUUGCGGACAGUGUCUGGUGGGUAGUUUGACUGGGGCGGUCUCCUCCCAAAGCGUAACGGAGGAGCACGAAGGUUAGCUAAUCCUGGUCGGACAUCAGGAGGUUAGUGCAAUGGCAUAAGCUAGCUUGACUGCGAGCGUGACGGCGCGAGCAGGUGCGAAAGCAGGUCAUAGUGAUCCGGUGGUUCUGAAUGGAAGGGCCAUCGCUCAACGGAUAAAAGGUACUCCGGGGAUAACAGGCUGAUACCGCCCAAGAGUUCAUAUCGACGGCGGUGUUUGGCACCUCGAUGUCGGCUCAUCACAUCCUGGGGCUGAAGUAGGUCCCAAGGGUAUGGCUGUUCGCCAUUUAAAGUGGUACGCGAGCUGGGUUUAGAACGUCGUGAGACAGUUCGGUCCCUAUCUGCCGUGGGCGCUGGAGAAUUGAGGGGGGCUGCUCCUAGUACGAGAGGACCGGAGUGGACGCAUCACUGGUGUUCGGGUUGUCAUGCCAAUGGCACUGCCCGGUAGCUAAAUGCGGAAGAGAUAAGUGCUGAAAGCAUCUAAGCACGAAACUUGCCCCGAGAUGAGUUCUCCCUGAGACUUUAAGUCUCCUGAAGGAACGUUGAAGACGACGACGUUGAUAGGCCGGGUGUGUAAGCGCAGCGAUGCGUUGAGCUAACCGGUACUAAUGAACCGUGAGGCUUAACCUU